AGCCUGAACGCUGGCGGCGUGGUUAAGACAUGCAAGUCGUACGGUGUAGCAAUACACAGUGGCGAACGGGUGAGUAAUGAAUCGCUAAUGUACCCCGGACUUUGGGAUAGCUGCCCGAAAGGGCAGGUAAUACCAGAUGAUAUAACUUUGUCGCAUGACAGAGUUCUCAAAGGUCCGCCGGUCUGGGAGCAGGCGAUUUCGUAUCAGCUAGUUGGUAAGGUAACGGCUUACCAAGGCGACGACGCGUAGCCGGACUGAGAGGUUGGCCGGCCACAUUGGGACUGAGACACUGCCCAGACUCCUACGGGGGGCUGCAGUAACGAAUCUUCCGCAAUGCACGAAAGUGUGACGGAGCGACGCCGCGUGUGGGACGAACGCCCUUCGGGGUGUAAACCACUGUCAAGGGAAGAAAGUUCUGAUCUACCCUAGAGGAAGGAGGCGGCUAACUCUGCGCCAGCAGCCGC
rnacentral:rRNA from 1 species